rnacentral:rRNA from 1 species
CUUGGUCAUUUAGAGGAAGUAAAAGUCGUAACAAGGUCUCCGUUGGUGAACCAGCGGAGGGAUCAUUACCGAGUUUACAACUCCCAAACCCCUGUGAACAUACCACUUGUUGCCUCGGCGGAUCAGCCCGCUCCCGGUAAAACGGGACGGCCCGCCAGAGGACCCCUAAACUCUGUUUCUAUAUGUAACUUCUGAGUAAAACCAUAAAUAAAUCAAAACUUUCAACAACGGAUCUCUUGGUUCUGGCAUCGAUGAAGAACGCAGCAAAAUGCGAUAAGUAAUGUGAAUUGCAGAAUUCAGUGAAUCAUCGAAUCUUUGAACGCACAUUGCGCCCGCCAGUAUUCUGGCGGGCAUGCCUGUUCGAGCGUCAUUUCAACCCUCAAGCACAGCUUGGUGUUGGGACUCGCGUUAAUUCGCGUUCCUCAAAUUGAUUGGCGGUCACGUCGAGCUUCCAUAGCGUAGUAGUAAAACCCUCGUUACUGGUAAUCGUCGCGGCCACGCCGUUAAACCCCAACUUCUGAAUGUUGACCUCGGAUCAGGUAGGAAUGCCCGCUGAACUUAAGCAUAUCAAUAAGCGGAGGA